rnacentral:rRNA from 1 species
AACGUAGGUUCCGAGCGUUAUCCGGAUUUACUGGGCGUAAAGCGCGUUCAGGCGGUUUGGCAAGUCGGGCAUGAAAUCUCUCGGCUCAACCGGGAGAGGUUGUCCGAUACUGCUGGACUUGAGGGCAGUAGAGGGUGGUGGAAUUCCUGGUGUAGCGGUGAAAUGCGCAGAUAUCAGGAGGAACACCGGUGGCGAAGGCGGUUCUCUGGGCAUUACCUGACGCUGAGGAGCGAAAGCGUGGGGAGCAAACAGG